rnacentral:RNase_P_RNA from 1 species
AAAGUAGGACGGUUUGUCGCUGACAGAGAAUCAUUCAUGAACUCUGUUUGAGGAAAGUCCGGGCAACACAGAGCACCACGCUUCCUAACGGGAAGUCGGCCGAGAGGUCGAAUACAACGCAAUAGAAAACAACCGCCCCUAAGGUCUAUACCUUAGGAGCAAGGGUGGAAAGGCGAGGUAAGAGCUCACCGCACAGCAUGGCAACAUGCAGUGGCUGAGGCGUGUCGUGGGUUGAAAGACCAAGUAAACCAAUGUCUGAGGGUUGCUCGCCCAAGUUGGAGGGUAGGUCGAUAGAGACUGAUGGCGACAUCGGUACCAGAUAAAUGACAAACACCACGUCGACAACGAUGCGGCACAGAACCCGGCUUAUAGGUCUACUUCUUUC